GAAGAUUACAUUUCUAGAAUUAGUUAGAGGGUACUGGAAUUCAAUGUGUAGUGGUGGAAUACGUAGAUAUAUUGAGGAACACCAGAGGCUAAGGCGAGUGCCUGGAACAUAAUUGACGCUGAGGCUUGAAAGCGUGGGUAGCAAAUGGGAUUAGAUACCCCAGUAGUCCACGCCGUAAACGAUGGGUAUUAGUCAUUUGGAUUUAAGACUGAGUGAUGUAGCUAACGCGUUAAAUACCCCGCCUGGGUAGUAUAUAUGCAAAUAUGAAACUCAAAGAAAUUGACGGGGACCUGAACAAGUGGUGGAGCAUGUUGCUUAAUUCGUUAAUACACGCAAAACCUUACCGAGGCUUGCAAUCCUCCGCAACGCUAUAUAAAUAUAGUUGAGGUUAUCGGAGUGACAGGUGGUGCAUGGCUGUCGUCAGCUCGUGUCUUGAGAUGUUUGGUUAAGUCCCGUAACGAGCGCAACCCUUCUUAUUAGUUGCUUAGUUCUAAUAAGACUGAAUCGUAAGAUCUAGGAAGGAUGGGGCCAAGUCAAGUCAUCAUGCCCCUUAUGCCUCGGGCUGCAAACGUGCUACAAUGGUAGAUACAAUGUGUGACAAUCUAGCGAUAGUGAGUCAAUCACCUAAAGUCUAUCUCAGUCCGGAUAAAAGGCUGCAAUUCGCCUAUUUGAAGAUGGAAUCACUAGUAAUCCUGUGUCAGCUAUAUCAGGGUGAAUACGUUCCCAGGUCUUGUACACACCGCCCGUCAAACUACGAAAGAAAGUACUAAUUAAAACCGUAUUUAAUUACGUCUAGAUU
rnacentral:rRNA from 1 species